AGAAAUAGUUAAGGAAAUGGAUCCAGGCGUUAUCACCCUGGUCUGGCUUAAGUCCUGGGAACAGUAAAGAAAAUACCAGGUGUCAAUACCCUGGUCGGGCCUAAGCCUUGGGAACUGUAAAGAGAACAUGAAGGGUAAAGAUCGGUUAGCAAAAUAAAGCAGGCGGUUUGCAAGAUAAAGCAGGAUGUGCAUCUCAAAGACAGACCAAACAGUGUAAAUAUUUGUAACCCUUAGUAGUGUUGCUAAAUCAGGAUGACAAGGGAGUAAAAGAGUGGAAAGUUACUGCUUAGCACCUAGUAGACUAUAAAAGGGAUGUGAAAUGUGAAAUAAAAGUCUUCAGAUUUCACCAGA